CAGUAGCCGCGGUAAUACGAAGGGGGCUAGCGUUGUUCGGAUUAACUGGGCGUAAAGGGCGCGUAGGCGGGUUUUUAAGUCAGAGGUGAAAUCCCAAGGCUCAACCUUGGAACUGCCUUUGAUACUGGAAGUCUUGAGUCCGGGAGAGGUGAGUGGAACUGCGAGUGUAGAGGUGAAAUUCGUAGAUAUUCGCAAGAACACCAGUGACGAAGGCGGCUCACUGGCCCGGUACUGACGCUGAGGCGCGAAAGCGUGGGGAGCAAACAGGAUUAGAUACCCCAGUAGUCCCUGUCUCUUAUAC
rnacentral:rRNA from 1 species